GUGGUUGCCUCUGAAGAGGGAGGGAGAUUAAUUGGAGAUCAGGGAUAGGAGAUCAGACUUGUAACAUUGAACUAUUUGAAUUAUUUUUUUCACAUACAUGUAGUACCUUUGCAAAAUACAUUUUUGACACUUUUUAAUAAACUGAUUAAUAUUAUGAAAUAUCAAAUUAUUUUUUACUUAAGUUGGAUCACAAGGACGAGUCAUAAGUUUUGAGGUACGAAAAGACCACCAUGAUCUGGCUAAGAAGAAUUACAAACACUGGCGUGAUUCAUGGAAAUUAAGUCAUGUAGAAGAGUGGCCAGACAAUGUGGAUUUUAUUCAUAAGGACAUUUCAGGAGCAACCGAAGACAUAAAAUCUUUAACAUUUGACGCAGUAGCUUUGGAUAUGUUAAAUCCUCAUGUUACUUUGCCUGUUUUUUACCCACAUCUUAAGCAUGGUGGUGUAUGUGCUGUAUAUGUAGUAAACAUCACACAGGUUAUUGAACUUUUAGAUGGAAUUCGCACCUGUGAACUUGCUCUUUCAUGUGAAAAGAUAAGCGAGGUCAUUGUCAGAGAUUGGUUGGUUUGCCUUGC
rnacentral:lncRNA from 1 species